UGAACAUUUUAAAUUGUAAAAAUCGUGACCCUUGGACCAAAACUGGAGCCCCAGGCGGGGUUCAGAGUUUAACAUAGAAAAAAUGUUUUAAAAAUCCUCUUCUCAAGAACCACUGCACCAAAAAUGCCAAUAUUAACACAAAAGCUAGUAUAUAUAGUGAAGAUUCUAAAUUAUAAAAAUUGUGACACUCAGACCAAAACAAAUGGGGCUCCAGGCGGGGUUCAAAUUUAACAUAGACAUACAUAGGAAACAUAUUUACAUGACUUUUGUUUCAUAUAUUCAACUAAAUUGUGCACCAAAAAAACCCAACUGUGUCUCCCUGAUUAUUGACAACUCAUUGCAUAAGUAUAUAAGGUUGUUUAAUCAAGCAAUGACGGAUGAAUACGAUAAGGUGCAAAAAUUCAUUAAAUGUUAUUUUAGUUUAUCGCUUAUAUUUUAUUUGGAUACCGUGCUCGAUAAAAAUAAAAAUUAAUCUGUAAAUUUAUUUGUUAUCGGGCACGGUCUCCAAAAUAAAUGUAAGUGAUAAAUUUAUCUUGUGAUUUUGUUGCAAUAUUGCAGCUAGUUUGGUUGAGCAUUAUAGAUACGGCAGAUCAACGCACGUGGUGUGGAUUUAUUUGUAAACAACCAUCCCAAAGAUAAUCUUGUUUUACACGGGAAUUGAAUAAAUAAAAGUAUGUUUUAUUAUAAUUAGAGAAACACUGUUAAAGUUUUCCUCAUAUACAAAUGAUGAACCUGUAAAAUUUGUUCAAAGAGUGUUUAAAGCAGAAAGAAGAUGAUUUAUUUUUUGAACUUUGAAAUGUCUUCGAUUUUUGUAACCAUGAUUAGUUAUGAUCCAUUGUAUUACAAAUGUAUCACUACGUAUUUUAUAAGGAAAUACACUGAGUAUACAAUCACAUGGUGAUGUUAACAUUGCAUAUAAAA
rnacentral:sRNA from 1 species